UCAUGAACAACGCAAAACUCACAUUCUACUCAAAAAGCGUUCCUACGAAGAUUCGUCUGAUGAAGUAAGGAAAUCGUAUAGAGAAUGGAGACCAAGUGCCAACUGGCAAAGGUGUCGAUCUUGGGUGCAGUGCCUGCUUGACUUCUGGUCAAUUAGCAGGGAUUGCAAUGAUUGAUUCUACAU
rnacentral:sRNA from 1 species